rnacentral:snoRNA from 1 species
AAUCCAUGAUGAGGGCAUUGAGCUUGGUAGCCUUUGAAUCUCUCCCAGGCUUCACUGAAUCCUUCCAAGCCUUUCUGUUGAAAGCUGGAGAUCUCAUUUCUUAGCUU